UACGUAGGGGGCAAGCGUUGUCCGGAUUUAUUGGGCGUAAAGAGCGUGUAGGCGGCCUGAAAGGUCAGCUGUGAAAACUCGAGGCUCAACCUCGAGACGUCGGUUGAAACCAUCUGGCUAGAGUCCGGAAGAGGAGAGUGGAAUUCCUGGUGUAGCGGUGAAAUGCGCAGAUAUCAGGAGGAACACCAAUUGCGAAGGCAGCUCGCUGGGACGUUACUGACGCUGAGACGCGAAAGCGUGGGGAGCAAACAGG
rnacentral:rRNA from 1 species